rnacentral:rRNA from 1 species
CCUACGGGCGGCAGCAGUGGGGAAUAUUGGGCAAUGGGCGCAAGCCUGACCCAGCAACGCCGCGUGAAGGAAGAAGGCUUUCGGGUUGUAAACUUCUUUUCUCAGGGACGAAGCAGGCGACGGUACCUGAGGACUAAGCGACGGCUAACUACGUGCCAGCAGCCGCGGGAAUACGGAGGGGGCAAGCGUUCUCCGGAUUUGCUGGGUGUAAAGGGCGUGUAGGCGGGACGGCAAGUCAGAUGUGAAAACCAGGGGCUCAACCUGUGGCCUGCAUUUGAAACUGGAGUUCUUGAGUACUGGAGAGGCAGACGGAAUUCCUAGUGUAGCGGUGAAAUGCGUAGAUAUUAGGAGGAACACCAGUGGCGAAGGCGGUCUGCUGGACAGCAACUGACGCUGAGGCGCGAAAGCGUGGGGAGCAAACAGGAUUAGAUACCCGAGUAGUC